GGGCUGAACACAUAAAAUAAAAGUAGCCUGUGAGGAGUAUGGAGCAAAGUUCUCCUGUGACUCUUCUCAACUCUGUUUGGAGUUCAUCUGUAAGUAUGCACAGGUUUGGGCGGUGCACCUCAAAGGAGAUACAGAGAAUUAGGAGAAAGUACAAAGGAAAAGCAAUGAGAAUGAUAAGGAAUUUGACAUGUCAGGAAGUAUUGAUGGAAAUGGGAGUGCUCAGCCUGGGAAAAAGAGAAGUUGGAGGGAGAUGAUGGGUGGUAAAAGAACAAAAGUCUGGGAGAAGAGAAAGUAAAAAGUUUAUUCGCUGUGUACAUGGAGAGAAGUGGGAGGGCAUGAGAAGCAGUUUGUUAAACUGAACCAAACGAAAUUCAGAUUAGGAAUAACCUUCAAAGGUGGAUAAAAUGAAACACCAGUGCAAGCCAAGUGAGCUAGUUGUGGCAUCUCUGUGAGGCUUUUCAGAACAGAUGAGACAAAUAUCUGUGAGGAAUGGCAAAGAUGUGUGAAUGGUCCCGUGUGGUGGCACAGGGGUGUACAGCAGACAUCUACCAACACUCCUAAAACCAUUUUCUGUGCCUUAGUGUAUAACGAUCUGUUUAAGAAUCAUGGCUGUGAGAAGGUGAUGACUUCCCAAUUUGCUUACCAGUGAGUCAAGAGAAAAACAGAUGGUUUGCUCAUCUGAAAUAAUUCUGUCUACGAAAAGGCCUUGGAAAGAAUCAGCAUCCAGACAGGUCUGGUAAACUGCUGACACUCUUUGUUUCUAUCAAGGCUCGAGGGCAGAUGCUGCACUGUCUGAAAUUGGUGGCAAAACUUCCACUUGCAUGGAACUGGCAUUAGCCUAUAAAUGCAAGUCCCUGUUUUGCUCAUUUUGUGAACCACUGUUCAUGCCAGGCACAGUUUAUAUUGUUUAAUGUUAAAGUAUACAAUGAGUACAAUGAGGAUAAUUGUAUUUUCAAGCAUCAUGAACCUACUGUUAACUUCAGUGUUAUGGUGUCUAAAGUCUAGUAGCAAGUGUGAAUGAACGAACAUUUGACAUGUUCUGGUUUACUUUUCCCAUCCUUGUAACUGAGUUAAAUGUCAGGUAAUAUAUUUACUAGCCAGUAUGUGUUGAUUAGGGAACUCUUUAAUUUUCGAGAGAAAUACUCAGUAUUUAUUUCUCUUUUUCUUCUCUGAAGCUAAAUCUCAUUGAGAAACUAGUAUGAUAACUUCUAUAAUGCUUCCUAAUUUCUCCAGGAAAAAAAAAAAAAAAGGUAUUGUUUUAUUCCUGUAGUAGCUGAUGUUUCUAGUAAACACUGCGAGGAAAUGAUCCAGUUGGAUAACAUUUUGUUUGAUACACCGUAAAUUCUUCCCGUGAAAGCUGAUGGUAGUUUUUACGGUUUUUUUUGUUUGUUUGUUUUGUUUUUUGUUUUUUUUUGCCUGAUUUGAACAGUCAAGUAGAAAGGUAGUUUCCCAUUCCUUGUUUGUGAACAUAUGACUGAUGUAUAGGAACUUUAUGUCCAAUUUUUUAACUGUACUACAAAAUGACCAUGCUUUGGGGCGUAUGGAAAGUAUGUUGCAUGAAGAAAUACACCUAAAACUGCAUAUCUUUUCCUCUGGGAAAUGAUUCAAAUAUAAGUUUAUGAAAUGAAAACUGCCUCUUAGGUUGGGGUGGCACUUAUGGACCCUCUUCCAUGUAGCCAACUAUCAACUGGUGUGGCAAAUAUCAGACUGCUGAGUAACGAGGAAGCACUGCACUCUCAGGACAAAGGUUCCAAACUUAACGACUCAUUUGUAAGUAUUUAGCAGGAAACAUGAACAGAAAGAUGCUGAGGUUGCUGUUCAUGGCUGAGGCCUCUUUCGUGCAGUCCACUGAGUGUAUUUACAAUGCUCGUUAUACUGGAGUGGGGUUUAGUCUCCACUUUAGAAGGGGAUCUCCUGUGAUUGUCUGAACACAAUGCAAGAAGGACUUUGAUACAUUAUUUUCAGUGCUAGGGUUUUUAAAGCUAUGAUUUUUCUCAAAAUCAGUUUUAUUUUAGAAAACAUUCUUUUAUGGAGGCACAUUAGAGAGGAAAGGUUAGGAUUAUUUAAGGGAGGGGAAUUAAUUGUGUCACUUCUAUGGGCAUUAGGCAAAUUGCUUCACUUGAAGUUAAGAGGCAGCAUGGGAGCAUUUAAGUAUAGGGUGCCUGCAAUGCACUUUAUGAUAGUCUUAGCUUACGACCUUAUAUCAUUUUAUUUCUCUAUUAAAUCAAGACAUACCACAAUGAGACUGGGAUCAUGCACAAUGCAGUAGUUAGCACCUAGUGUUCUAAAGGCUAGGUGAUGUACUGUGACAAAGCAGCAAAGGAAAGGUAGAAUAAUGGAGAAGUUUGUAAUACAGUCCUAGACAUAAAAGAUGAUAUCUGAUAUGUGUUAGGAUUAAAUAUAGGAAAACGAGGUGGAAAAUUGUCCAACUCAUUAUUAAGUUCUUUGUGUUUUACUCGCAAACUUAUUUUACACUGUGCAGCAGAUGUCAGAAUAAAGAGAAUGGCUUCAAAACUAAUUAUGGGCCAGGUCCCUGGCUUCAGAGGUAGUAAAGACCUUACAGGUCAGCCCAGCGAUGGUGCUUAGCAUUUAUGCGCUAAUUUGGCAUUGUACAAAGGAGCACUCAGAUAUGUAGAAACAAACACAGAGGGAGCUGACUCAGAGCACCCUCCUGCCAUGUGGAGAGAGAAGUACAGCUGAUAAAACAUGCUGUUUGAGUUUUAUUUUACAUGAAGCAGGUUCUCAUCGGCAGAACAAGGCAAUGAUUUUUGAUUCUAGCAGUACUGGGUUGCUUUCUGUGCCAGGGCAAAUUCUGACCAUGCUGAUGCAUGUUGCUUUUAGGCUGGCAGCAUGAAUGCUGCUGCUUAAGAACACAGGCAGAGGCAGCUCGUGGCUCCUAUAUAGGUUUUGUCACAUUAUACAUUGCUUGGACCAAGUCUUUUCAGACACAAUUUGAACUCUGUGUAGAAAUGCAGCUGUGAGGUGCUGGUGUAUGUUCAAGCCCCAGACUGAAAAAUACAUGGAGUUCAUGCUUUUUUCAGGGUUGGAAAGCAGCUGGAUUCUCAAGAUUACUGUUUAUAACAGGUGCAUAAAUUCUUUUGAAGCCCAGGUUUGGGGUAUAUAGUUUCUUCCUUUGACUCCAGAUAGAUCCUACAUUUUGCAGGAUGGAUAUUUCAAGUACAGGUGCUUUUGAAUGAGAACAAAGUAGUCAUCGGUAUUUUAUUGCAAACCAAGCAUGUACUCGUCAACAGACAGCAGCUUUGUAGAGCCAGCUGUUUUUCACUGUAAAGAUGUACUAUCUUCAUGCAGCAGCCAGGAAUAGGAAUAUGGAAUAGUACACCAGCACUUUCUCAUCAAGAGUUCUCUUUCUCAGGAAUUAAGGGCUUCAUUUAAGUGAUGUAACCUGAGGUAUCAAAUGUCAAAGAGGACUAAAUCACUGAGGCUACUUGAUGCAGAAUCUGAGGUGCAGUUUUGGAAAGGUGUUACUGCUCCACUUUAUCUAAAUGGAUGCUGAUUUACCUACUCAGUGAUAAGCCUUUAAUUGUCAAAGUUGCUAAUAAGCUGUGUGAUCAAAGGUAUGUAUAAGAGGAGAGGAAGGAGGGUGAAAAGCUCUUUAUGAAAAGCUGCAAAGUCCAAAGCGAGUAACUGCCGAUGCUUUACAACAGAGGAAUGAGCUGGGCGGUGUGUCGGUGCACAUUCAUUAAAUCGAUAAAAGGCAAAGGCCAAGGAGCCUCCAAAGGGAGAGCUAGGCUCCCUGAGGCCAAAGGCAAGCAAGACGCAGCCAGGCCAGAGCCCUGAGGUUUGCAUGUUCCAUAGGGCAGCUAAGGUGAGAGAUGGGGGAGAGCGAUUCUAAAGCAUUUGUGCACCUUUUGUUUGCUAAUGGUGCCUCAUGUUUAUCUUUGGGGGAAGGCCACAAAGAGAACUACAAACUUUUCGGUUAAUUCAUCCAUAAUGGACUCUGUUCAAGAUGUUGGUAGGUGAGGUGUUGGCUGGCAUUAUGAGGAAGAACCUAGAAAAAGAAUUUCUGUAUCUAAUAUUUGGCUGCUAAUGUUUUACUUCGUAUAAGUUUGGUGUUUCUGUGAUUGGCCAUUGCCUUUGUAAUGAUUGCAUGUCGCAGUGGGACGCUGAGCUCCUCCACUUGAGGAAGUGCUGUUCUGAUCAAUGGGGCUGUACUCCUCUACAUGCAGCAGUGCUAACUCCUGUAUUUAAUAUUUUCCCUGAUUCUAAAUAAACGAAAACACUGAAGGAUUUCCCAAAAGAUUGGGAAAGAUAAUUUUAUUGCAGAAGAAUCACUGGAAAAACAGUAUUAAUUUCCGUGGGAAUUAUAUUUCCUUUCUUUAAUUCUUUUCAUAGAACUUAUUUUUAAGUUCUUGCCUUCUCCUUUAUUCACAUGUGAUUUUAGGAUUCUUAUAACGGCAUGGGAGAUCAUACCCAUCUGGAGAGUUAUUUUGCGUCCUGUGUUUCAUUUCCCCUGCUGUAAGGCAGAAGUAAUGGUACUCCUGGUGUGCAGUGCUUUGAGUCUCCUACUAAGUCCACUACUAAGCACUGAUGAAAACUUCAAUACUGUAAUGCUUGCAUCCCAUAAGUCUUGCCCACAAAUACCGAAAUGAUACUUGUGGAUUUGAGGUGGGUUUUUUAUACUUUUUUUUUUUUGUUGUUGUUCUAUGUGAAUAGGGGAAACUAGACAGAGCCCUUUGGUUCAAAUGGGGCACAAUUAUAAUAGAAGGUAAUAAUUUUAGUUACCACCUCUGGAACCGUAUUUAAACCGUUGACUGAAGAGUAAGUGAUACUUUGCACCUAAUAAAAAAUCUUAAAGCAUCAGUCAAACUUUCUAAAUUGUUCCUGCCACUCUCUGUAUUCCAAGCCUACUUCAGAGCUGCUGUAGCAGCAAUGCAGGCGCAGGGGAUGGGAUUUCCCAGAGGAGCCUCCACUGCAUGGGACAGCCUAUGUGUAACCCUCUGUGCUCACGGCUUGGCACAGACACAGACCUGGUGUCAGGGCUGUCCCUGGAGCUGCGUGGGUGGCUGUGCAGAGCAGUGCCUGCCAUGACCUGUGUCUGUUCUGUGGCUCCAAAUUACAGGCACAUGUUUCAUCGGUGCAAAUUGCAGCUGGAAAGGCAGAAGUGGGGAUCUGAGCACAGCCCGCAAUGUGUGCAGAUAAAGGGCAAAACGCAACGUGCAUUGGCAUAGCUGAAAUGUCCCUAUGUGUGAUUAAAAAUGUAUACCUUCAUUUGUUUUUCCUUGUGCAACCAAAGCAUAGUGAAAGAAAUAUACCUUCUCAGCCAUCUGCAGUUUUUUGCCAGGAAGGCCAGCUUCCCAAAAUGAGAUGGAAAAAUAAAUUAGGUAGGAGUGAUGACUAAGAAAAAAAUGAACUUUAUAACAAAAAGUCAGCAGUGAGAUCUCUAUGAGUCAAAUCUUCUUGUAGCUCAAAAUUCAGGGAGCAGCAGGACAACACCAUCUAAAUACAGGUUGAUUAAAAUGGAUUUCAUUUUCUUCCAACAGUAGCUGUGGUGUGGUGUCUGUUGUUAUGACUCUUAGUGGGAAUUGACUAUAAAAAAUCAAAUUAUUCCCCUCCUGCUGACGUAGUGAAUGGUGUUGAGGUGCCUGCCCAUUAGGCUACAUCCAAGGUAGAUCUCCUCCAAAAUCCUUGUCAGACAGAGGAGAGGGAUCAGAUGGAGGAGUGCCGGGAAGUGCGGCUGGCUGAGUGCGCCUGCUGCCAGCUCUGAGUGUAUACAGAGGGAGACAGCAGGGAGGGACGGUGCUGGGGAAGAAUGGAAGCACAGAAGGAGUGAGACCACAUGCAGAAAAUGAGAAUCUCAUUUUCCGAAGAGUCACAAACAUGCUUUGUUAAAGGCGUACUCUAAGGAAAGAUAAAAAUUUUUAAAAACCUACUUCUCACGGAAGCAAUAGAAAAGGAAUUUUUCAUAGAAGUAAAGGAAUGCAAACAGAAAUGUUUUCAUGUUGUAAAAGCAUUGCAGUGCUGUGCUCACAGCCUGUACGGAAGGAGAGAAAGUGAAACUAACCGAGAGCAGCUUGAGUAGUUUCACUGUCAAGGCCAGGAGAAAUGAGAGAUACAAAAACUAAUUCAAUUAAUCAAUGGUACUUCAGAUAACUAUAGAGUUAUUUACUUUAACGUGGAAAACAUUUGCUCUUCUGUGCAUGGAGUCAUCCUUUUUCACAUUUCUUUGGAGUUAAUCUGCCUCACCUCCAGCAGCAGAGCAUGAUCUGCUCUCGGCUGAGCCCCGUUUGCUCCCCACAUAGCUGGAGGUUCUGGCAGAUGCAGGCACGCAGCCAGCUCAGCAGAACUUGUACUGUACUUCUGCAUUUCCAUUCUAACAGUUAAUUAUUUGCUGAUUCUGAGCAAAGGUUCUGUAUUCAUUGUCAUGCCAAACGUGGGUAGUGUUAAGCCUGUGCCAUGCAUUAAGCCUUUAGGCUAAGGGGUGCAGAUUUGUUACCUAAAUGUUUUAGCGCUCUGUAGACUGCUUUGUUCUGUCUGUAUUCUCCACAACAGUUAUCCCAGUGAUCCAAGUAAUCUUUUCCUUCCCAGCAGCUUUUAAAUGCUUGUGCUUCCAUUAGGAAAUGGGAAUUCAUUCUCUCCCACAGGCAGGUAAGGGCAAAGAGUGUGAGGAUCGGGACGUUAGCUGGGGCAGUAUAGUGGAGAAGAAAAAUGGCAUAGUACUUAUGCUUCUUGCAUAAGAGAAGAGGAAAAUGCCUGACUCAGUGCUGAGUACAGCCCACGUGCUGUUUUCUGGGAGAAGAUGGAUUGAGGUAGGAAGUGCCCAGUGGCACAAGGCACAGGAGAACUAUCUCCAGCACACCUCUGUCUGCUGUUGUAGUUGAUGGGAAGAGGACUCCUCCAGCAGUUUCUCACUGCUUUGGCUAUCCACUGGCUAACCUUUUCAUGGCUGCCAUGGUUUACCUCAAGAGCAGGUACUGAUCAAAUGGUCCUGAGUUUCCACUUGUGCAGUUAUGGCUCAGUUGACUGUAGAGGAUGUGCUUUUGGUGUGGAGUGUCAGAAGUGGAGGUGUAGGGGAGCCAACAUAUAAAAUGGUAUAAAUUGGCUCCCAUUUGGGUCUCUUGUAUUGUCUUAGUGCCCAGGGAUUUCUUAGGCCAUAGCACCCAUUAGCAACAUGGGAAGAUAGGUGUGCAAUUCUCACUUGGGAGGAAAAUACUUUCCUUAGUGUCCAUGUGCCAGCUGCAUUGACUCAGAACACUGUAAGGAGCUCCAUUAAGUUCUAUUGGGUCCAUAAUCUGCACAUUAAGAAAAAUUUACAUGAUAGAUGGGGCUGUUAAAGUCUAAUUGGGUAAUCAAAAAUUAGUUAAUGUGCCAAAAUAUGUAUUUAGCUGAUAAACUAUAAUGGUUCCAAAGGGUUCUAGUAUUAAUAGAAGGCACGGUUGCAUAUUAUGGAGUCGAGAGUAAGAUAUUGCUCUUCUAACACUCGUUUCAAGCAAAGAUCCCAAAGCACUUGACAGAUAUUAAAUCACUUAUUGAUUUGAUAUUUCCAAAAUAUGUCCAUCCAAGGCUCUGGGGGAAUAUAUGUUAACAAUAAUGUCAAAUUUGCACAUAAAUAAAAAAUGAUAAUUUUCCCCCACUUCCAAAUUCUAUCAAGUGUAAUGAACACUCCUGCCCUCAAACUAGUUAAAAUCUGUCUAGGUUGGAUCUUCUUUAAACUAUAUUAUGUGCCCAUGAUAUACUGUAUUCACUUAAGUGGUAAAUAAGCUGAACAGUAGUGAAAUUAACCAAUUUGAAAAGAUCUAAAGUUGGUGGCAGUCAGUAAAAGAAUAUGGUAUUGCUGUUUUUUUGUCCAUUACCCUGACAGCAACCAAUACAGUGUUUCUGUCUUCAGAAUCCGAAAGAAGUUUGGACAUUCUGGAAAUAGCUUCCUAACCUAUUUGUUCAAACUUCAUUCUUUUUUAAAUGAAGGAAAUGAAUAGAAUUUUUAAAUACCUCCUCCCUUUAAUAGUUUCAAAAUUACCUAAAGUAUUAAAAGCAUGCCACUCCCACAUUAUAAUAGCAUGUGGUUCUGUGUUUGUGCAGCAUCUAGUGUAAUGGGGACCUCAUCUAAGAGACUUCUACAGUACAAACAGAUAACGAUCACUUUAUUUGAAGGUGGAAAAAUGUUUUUUUUUCUAAUGGAGAAAAUGGAGUCACAAAGGUAAAGACUAUAGCAGAUCUAGUGCUAAACACCAAGCUCAGUUGUGGCUUUGCUACAGCGCAGCACAGAAGCAUUCCUAAACUGUGCCUUUUAAAAACAAUUUAUGCUUUGGUGUAUAUGUAAUACGCCUUUAUUUCUUUAUAACUAUCUUGAGUGUUUUGCACCAGUUAUGCCCUAAAAAAGGCCUCUAGAUGUCUAAAAGUGCCAGACAAAUGACCAAAGACCCUUCUGCUUGACUAGGCACAAUUUUGAGGUGGAAAGGAGAAUAUCUCCAGAAAAACUCAGACAUCAGGUAGCUUAAUCGUAUUUUCAUACCAUGUAAAUAUUUAAAGACAAAAUGCAACAGCCACAUUGCUGCAUUUCUUAUUUUGGAUGAAUGUCAUAUUUUUAAUGAUAGUUGAAUAGUUUUGUAUUUUAUUUAUGUGGUCUCAUUUGUUUGCUAGGAAAUAUGAAUUGAAUGCUUCCAUUGCCUCUGAAUUCAAAAAUGUAUUUUCUAGAUAUCAUUAGUUGAAGGAUGUUAGACAACUGCAUGUUUUUUCUUCCACAUAAAUAAAUAAAUAAGCCGAGUGUCAUGAUUGUUUGCUGUCUAAUAUACAUAGAUCCAAAUGUAUAUUGAAAUGCUGUUUGGAACAAAUAAGUCACUGCUAGACUUUUUGACAUCUCCACAGAAAGAGAGAAAAAAUAUAUUCUUUUUACUUUUUUUUUUUAAAGCUAAAAAGAGCCACUUGGUUUUUGGGGAAAGCUCUGACCUGAGAAAUGAAAAAGAAAAAAAAAAAAAAAGGAAGAAAAAAAAAAAGCUGGAGAAUAAUGAAUUCAUCAAGCUGAAAAUGCACAGGCCAAUGGAGCGCUUAGAGUUCAAUAGGAGGCAAAUGGAAAGAGAGCCCCAUUACUGUUGAGAUACAGCGACACGGCUCCACUAAUCGCUUGGUCAUGCUUGGUAGACACUAAGUCAUCACAGGCCGUGACAUGGGGAGAACAGGUGCCAGGGUUUGCUGUAAGAAAAAAUUGUUUAUUUAACAUCCACAACCCACAUUGCCCCCUCCUUUACCUUUCAUCCCAUCUCCACAGAGGAACAACGCACCAGGCAACACACAGGAUGGUUUUGGUAGUCUGUGACGGAGGUGGUGACACACAAACCUGUCCCAUAACUGCAAUUAGCAUGUGCUGUUAAUGAAGAAUAGUGCUGUUGUGGUCUCAGUGGCAUCAGCUGAUGGGUUUAGUUGAUUCUGUACAGUGGGGGGUUGGAACUAGAUGGUCUUUAAGGCCCCUUCCAACUCAAACCAUUCUGUGAUUCUGUGAAGGCAGGAAGGCCUACUAGCCUUAGCCCAGGUAGGCUUAUGUCUGCGUAAGUGUGAAAAUGAGCAGGGUGAUAUUUCAGGACCAGAACUGAGGUAACUGGCUGGAUGCUCGUCUUCUGCUUUCAGCUGUUGUGGGAAUGUGUAUUAUGGAUCCCUUCAAAGCUUCCAGUCCUUUCCUAGCAUGGAGGUAGGUGGUAUCCGCUGAGCAGAGAGCUGUAUGGUACAGGCAACAAUAAAAAACCCAUUGUUAGUAUACCUCAGGAUUUACAUUGGACAGGUCUUGAAAUACUGUGUCACCUGGAAGAUGUACAGACUGAGUUAUCUAAGAGGUUCCUAAGGUAUCUGGGUCACAGAUUCAUUUUUCUAAAUAAAGGAUUCAAACAGCAUUUUGUUAGAUUUUGAAUAGUCCAUCUCACUGAUCUUUUUAAUGCAUUGAGCUUUUUUUUUUUUUUUUUUUUUUAAACUAAAAUCUGUUAGACUUUCUCUUCCAAAACUGACUGUUGCAGUUUGAACAACAACAACAACAAAAAAAAGACACCGAAUCAAGUGAUGCUGUCUGGGAAAAUAAUGGUAUCUGGAAAUCUGCAAUCUUAACACUGAGUAAGAUCUCUUCAGACCCCAGUCUUUCCAGAUAGGUUUUGUUACAGUUGUGCUUCUUGAUUUAGGCAGUGAAUAAGUGCUUGGAAGAACUGGACACUAUUCUUGGCUCUGCCACAGACUUCCUAUGUGCUGAUGAACAAGUCUUUUAGACCAAAGCUUUUUCGUUGUGAGAAUUUCCUUGCAUUUUAAAUCUGUGGGGAAUUAAAUGGAACGGACAUUUAGAUUCGCUUCCCCACCUCCUUCGGUAAUAGAUGAAAUGGAGAGGAUAUAGGAACAGGUUUAGAAGAUCAAAUCAAUGCACUUGUUUUGUAACCAGGAACUAAAGGGAACAAGCUGUUGUUUUUUGUUAUUUUUUUUAUUAAUACACAUCUGCUUUUUUACUCCAACCUCCCUCUGAGAUAAAUCAAAGUCAGCCUUUGAAAGAUUAAUUGUGGAGUCCAUAUCUCACAACUAUGUAUCUGAGGACUAAAAAAACCUAUAAUGUUGACUAAUAAAACUGUCUUGCUAUACAAACCUUUAAAAUCAAGAAAUUGCCUGUCCACAUGUUUUUUCUGCCACAUAUCUUAAUUAGCUUCACAAAUAAUGCUGCCUGUUUUCACUUUCCCAUCUAUUAAUUAGCCUCAUACUACUGUGAAGUGAGCAAUGAGAAAAUAGCCAUCCUUUGUUCCUCAUGUUAUAAUAUAGGACAUUACCUUCAUUCUGAUCUGAGGACAAAGGUAUACUCGUUAUGCCCUUUAUGGCUAUCUAACAUUCACUUAUGGAUUUUCUUUACCUCUUGUUAAGAAAGUAUUAAUAUUCUGAACAAACAUGCACGCACAUACAUAUAUGUAUAGAUAUGUAUUAAUCAGCACAAAAUUACUACAUCUAGAAUACUGAACUGUGAUCUGCUCUAGGGUGUUCUGCUGUGACUAAACUAAUAUUAGAGAAAAAAAAAAGAAAAAAAAAAGAUUUAGACACAAGAAGCUAAUUUGAAAAAAAAUAAAAAUCUCCUUAUUAAGGUAAAAAUCUGGAGCUGAGUUUGUUUUUAGUUCUUUGGUCAAAAAGAUGAAAUAAUAAUGAAGAUAGAAACAUUAAUUUGAGCACAGACCUCUAUUUAAGGUCAACACCCAUAUUUCCUUGAGUUAAAUUUUAGUCGGGACAGCUAGCAGAUUCACACAUAUUACUAUUGCCCCAGCAGUCUUAUUGAGAUGGGAUUAGUUCUUUUUCUGAUAAGGCAUACAUGUGAGUUUGCUAAAUGAGUCCAUAGUUAACAGACUUCUAGUAGUCCUGACUACCUUAAAAUUAUAUUAUCUUGAGGGUGCUGACCCUCAAGUGUUGUGAGAGGUAGUCUGUGUUCAGAACAAAGCAGUUUGGAGGGACUGGAAGAGCAGGGAUUUUGGGCACAGCAUCAAAGUGCAGGUAGCUAACUGCUAUGAGACACACCCUCCAGAAAAAUGUGAUCCUCUGUAGUCCUGCGUUUCUACAAGUCUAACUUAUUAAGAUAGCAGUUACUCAAUGUCUCUCCAGUGAGUAAAAGUUCAGUUUGGAGAUCUGUCUAUAGUUGCAUAUUGAUUAGGAAAAAAUCAUUGAGUUUUGGCCAGGCAUUGCUGACUUAUCUUAAUGUAGAUAAAGCCUGUAUGCUCAUCUUCAAGUUUAGAUCAUGUUUCCUGUUGUAAUAUCUGAGAAUCUUUAACUAUCUAUCAUGAGAACUUUCAGUUCCUCAUUUAACAAGGAAUAAUUAGAGGAUUCAGUAUCUCAAUUUUGUCUGAUUAAAAAUAAAGUGUGCCCUCUUCCCCUGUAGUUUGUCAAGUUUAUUCUAUGUAUCCUCAAAGUUGGGUAAAAAGAUAGGUCAUUCAAAGAAGACUAUGCAGCAUAGCAUGAAGGUUGUUCUUUCAGGUUCAUAAAGUGAUUUGAUUUCAUUUUGAGUUCCCAAUUGAUGUUUGUUUUUAUUUAAAAUGUCUGUAAGGGUAACUGUUCAGAAUGUACUAUCCAAGAUAAUAGCAUUAACUGGCAUGGCUGCAAAAUCAAUAAUAGUAACAAAAAUAUACCUCUACUGAUUAAGAGUGACAUAAAAUAAAUUUGUUAACAAAAAUGGAUGUAGUCAACAGUUUAAACACGUGUCUUAAAUACUGUAAUGCAGUGCAUAGGUCUUAUUUUAACUUUUAGGUACUUGUUUAAAAGGAACCUUUGAAAAUCUUAGUAGUUUCUUACCUUUAAAGGCAAGCAAAACUAACCUACAAAGUGUUUUGUUCCCUUUCCUUACUAAAAUAAACCUUAUAACAAAAUGGUAGUAGAUUUCAUCCAGAGAAAGGAAUUGAAAAUGCUAAUUCAGAAGCUAUAAACUAGCUUUGAAGGAUGGGUCUUUUUCAUCUGGCUUCAUGAGAAACAGCAGAGCAGAAAUAAAAAUAGAUCAUUGACCAAAAAUAUCCUUUUCCAGCUGGGUCAUUUAAAGAACUGUAUCAUUUUUAAAUCAUACGUAUAGCUGAUUUGAAAUCUGCCCCUCCAAACAGGGUCUAAUGCCAAGGUCAAGUACUCUGGAGGGGUUUUUUUGUUAUUGUUUGCCUGCUUUGGGGUUUUUUGAAAACAAGGGUCCUUGUGGUAAUGAAGAAGAGUGUUAUACAGGAAUAUAAAUAAAGUCUCACACACUGAGACAGAUCCUUUACGUAUACACACUGUUUUUGCUCAAGUGGGGGCCAUCCAUUCACACCAGCUACUUAUUUUAUUUUAGCUGAUGUCUAAAAUAAAAGUUUGGCCAAGCUUUGCUUGUAUCCCCAGUCUCUUGUGGCAUUUCACAGGUGAGGCAUGUUUGGGAGACUACUAGAGACACAUCAGACAUUGCCUAAAAUGUUUAUUCAUUCUUGCUCUUUAUCUUAAUAGAUAGGCAUGGGUUGAAGCAGGGAUAUAACAUAAAACUGAAUAUUGACAGAGAUGCAAAAAUAUGAAGAUUCUAGUUCAAAACUUAUCAGAGAUAAUGAUACCUAAACACCUUAACCUCAAACUCAUUAGUCUCACAUAUCUCAAUCAAUAUGGAUUCUCUCAGAAAUCAAUUUUCAGCAGCAAAUAUGAUUGUUAAAUAAUUCACAAGUUACAGGCCUUCGGGCAAGAAGAGGUUAGAGAAGCAGAAGGAAAGUGGUGAUCUCGACCUGAGAUGUGAUUUCAAUUAAAAGAGGAGAGCAUCUGUAAAACACAGUUUUAUGUUUAAGGUGUCAAGCUGUUUAAAGAAAAGAGGCUUAUAAAUGUAAAUUACAGUCUUAAGCAGUAUGGUAUUUAAAACAUUCUUAUUUUUCAUACGCUAGCAGAAAGAAUUGAUUCAAUUGAUCAACAAGGCAUGUGGCAUUUAAAAAAUUCCAACUGGUAUGACUAUUAUCAAAUCUCAGUGAAAGACAGAAGUGGUAAAAAAAACCUUCAUGGGAUUUUCUGAAGUUCUUUAAAUAUUUCUGGCUAAAGGCAGAUAGAAUUUAUGCCUAUGUUUUAUAUUUUUCUCAUAUCUACUUCCUUUCAUACAUGUGUUUUCACAUUCACUAUAGUUGAAUAACAGUUAUUAGCAUGAGCAUUAUUUUAGGGAGAUAAAGAGCAUUCCAGGAGAAGUCCUAUUAGGCAAUACAGUACUAGGGGUCUAGUUGUUUUCUCAGGGCCUUAUCACGCCUACUAUAGCACAUGGAAAGAUUUGUAUUGAUCUACUGAAUCUUGGAUCUGGCCCUAAUUGUGCUUGUGUAAAUUUGGAAUUACAUCACUGGAGUUAAUGAUAUAAUAACUGUAUUAGAUUAAUGCAAAUAUUCAUAUUCAGACCCUGAAUUCUUAGGAUUUUAGUUUUGUUACAAUGCCUGUAGAUGCAAGCUGUAGUUUUAACACAAUUUAAAAAUCAUAAUUCAAUUAAAAAUAUUUACUAACCUAAUUAUUUCUAUACUAGGCAUCUCUUUGAAGUAAUUAUAAUGAUACAUUUUAAUUUGAUGUUAUCUGUAUUCUGCCAGAGAUUUUUCAAUGGGCAUAAUUUGGAUAAAUAUCAAGCACUCCAAAUGCAUUUGAAUUCGGCCCAGGUCAAUAAUGGUAUUACCGUCUGAAGGCCCUCGAUAGGCUUAGUCAGAUGAGCUGAGGAGUUUAUUCCAGUUCGGAUGGCACUUGCUUACUCUGACGUCAGAUACCAGCUUAACAAUUCAUGCAGAUGGAAGAAUUGCACUGAAAAGGUGGCUCUGACAAGAAAAAAAAGAGGCUUUGUUUAAAGAUCUAGCACUGCUAGGCUUUGAAGUGAUCUGACUCAAAGCUCAUUGGUUUGGGGUUCCUGUGAACAUGGAAAAACUGGAACACUACUCAUGUUUGUAGUUUGUUUCCUUCCAAAGCACUCUGUCCUUCAUGGCUGGCUGGCAGUCUCACCUGCACAGGUUCAGUUACAUCAAAAUACAAAAGAAUGUCCUACACAGAAAAUCCUUAUCUCUCUAGAAUUUAGAAACACCUGAUGAGUUCACCAUUUCUAAGAUUGUUCAAAACAUGAAAAGAAAUUAUUUUAAGAUGCUUCUACAAUUUGUCUCCAUUCUUUAAAACUCUGUAAAACUUUCCUCUGCUAGGAGAUGUAUGAAAGGGGUAAGGAGCUCUGAUUUUCUCAGCUGUGGGUCAUCAAGUCACUCAUAAUCAGAUCUGAAAGGCAGCACCUGGUGGAUGGUGAGAAGAGGCUCAGUGGAGAUGGUUUUGUUGUGCAGUGAUAGGAGUAAGGAUUUCAUCUGUUUUGCUGUCUCAGCGUACUAUGGAAAAUAAAUUUUUUGUUCAUGAAUAGCGUUAUGGUCUGAGUCUGUGUCCCAGGAUAGGAAAUGAGAGGCUACAGAGAGUAAAUCCAAAUGAUACUGUGGUCAUUUUCUCAUAAGUUUUAUGAAGAUGAAGUAGCUGUCUCUGGCCAUACACAGAAGAGCGAUUUUCAAAGGAUGGAAAUGUUGAAAGAAUAAGGUAAAGUGUUCCCUUUUCUUAAAGGCACAUUCUUAAGUACAAGACAAGGGCAUUGCUCCACAUUUAUGUCGGUGUAAUUGAAAUUAGAAUCCUGCCCUAGCAGUCUGUAUGAAAACUGAUAAAGAUCAAUUUUGUUACCUCAAUGAAAACUGAAAUAUCAGCAAAUUGAUCUGCUCUUGCUUACACUGAUAGAAACCAAGAGUAAUCCCAGUGAAGGCUUUGGAAUGACAUAUGUAAAACUCGUGUUCUCUGGUCAAGCCCCAAAGUCUUUGGAAGAAAAAGCUUUCAUUUUCCAGUAUGUUUUAGAUUUGUAGGAGUGGUAAGGGAAUGAAAUGAUUAGAUCAGUCUCUAAGAUCUCUACUGACAGUAUGUCCCUGGUUUGUUUCUUGUUUGCAGCAGUGUCUUUGAGUCCUACCUCUGCCAUGUUCAAGACACUGUUUAGCCAGAGAAACAAAUCUUUAGAGCCAGGUUUUCCUUUCAGAUGUGUUCUGGGAUGUCAAAAGAACAAAGCUCUAUUAAUUGUUGCUUAUUCAAGAUGCAUAGCAUGGCAUUAUAAUACUCAAACAAUGUUAAUUAGACAAAACAAUUGCAAUAAUUAUCUUAUAAAAAGUCAGGCAGGGUAAUUUCUUUUAAAAUGAGGAUAACCUCUAGAGGAGAUUCUGCUCCAGUUCAGUUUUUGUUUUCUUAAUUUUGAAUGUUUUUAAUUUGAAAUUAUUGAGAUAUCAAUGACCUCUGGGUUCAGUUGGAUUAAGACAUUUAAAUGAAGUUUAUAGAAUUUUUUAGGUACUUUGGUAAGGCCCUUGAAAUUUGGAAAACUGUUACAGAUAACUUCAGGAUGUUCCGUGUGAUUACUUUAGAUAUGAUAUGUUUUACUGUGUCUAUGGGGACUAAUACAGUGCAUGCAAAAUAGGCACUCCUACUCUUCAUUUUAAUUUUGCUGAACUAUUGUGAGUAAUUUUUAUCAAGACUAUGUUUGGGCAAUAUUGCUUAUGAUGGGAACAGAAGGCAGCCAUGCCAACAGCUAAACAAUUCAAAAAUCAAAUAGUCAUUUUUACCAGACACCAUGAUAUUUAUUUGUCAAAAAUUAGGACUGCAUCUAGCAAGCCAAGGUUCUUCUUCUUUGGAUUCUGUACUGUAGUUUAUUGAAGACACCAGAGGUACUGCAAGAUUAAUUCAAUAAUAGGAUGUAGCUACAUUGAUCUUCCUGAUGUCAUUGCCCUAAAUUAUUAUAAAAUGCGACUAAAAUUACAGGUCUAGAAUAUAUACGAACAAGGACAGGAUCCAGGAGUAUUUCUUCUCAUUCUAAUAAUGGAUUUGUAGACCAAAUCCUCUGUUAUGAUUCUUUUUUGCAAUUUUAAAAAAAUCUAUUGUUUAACUUUGAAUGGAGUGUUUGUAGCAAGAUGAUUGAUCAUUGACAGAGAAGGCGAAAGCUGAUCUUAUACUCUCCUAUUCCAAUUCGUGAAUAAUUUUCACUUGUAAGAAUUGACCAUUGAAGUCCAUAGCACUUCUUAUGUGAGACAGAUCACUCAUGCAAAUAAAGGUUUACUGGACUAGGAUCUGUGGUAUGUUAUUACAGAGUCAUUUCCUGCUGCAGUCUUGGCUUGUUGGCUUCCUAUUUGCUAAUUUUAUAGGUUCUAUUUUUCUUCCAGAAAAGAUUGUUACAUCAUUAAUAGUGGAUCUUAUUGUUGCUCUUAAUUUUUGUGUUAUCUCUAAAAAAGCUGGACGAUGAAUUCAUUUCCUUAGAAGCAUUUAAAUUAAAAAUGCUUAGACUCUUUGAGUUAUACCCUCUAUAAUUUUAAAAUAAUUUUGGCAUUUUUUCCCCUCUGGCAACUGAAGUCUUUAAUCCUAUGGGACUCUGAUUUAUAGUGACACUACAGUCUUUUCAAAGGCAACAUUAUUAUGUCACUGAUACUGAAACGGUACAGUCAGAAAUAAGCAGAAAGUAAUUAAAGGACAAAAUUAUUACAGUGGAGCAGACUUGACCCAGAGACUAAGGGCCACACUCUGCUUGCUUUUCUUGAGUAAAUAGUCCCAUUGCAUCUCAUUCAGACAUGCAGCACUGGCAUAAACCCAGAAGAAAACCUCCAAGGAAGUCACCAGUGUAACUGAGAUUAGAACGCAGCUGGGACAGAAUUAUGUAUGUAUAAAAGAAGGCAGAAGAGAUUGUCCCAAAUAUUCAUUUAAUUUGAAUAUGUAUAGGAAGAGAAUGAAAGUGCUGGGACAAAUUCUGCUCCCACUUACAUUAUCGCAGCCCCAUGAAGUCUGUUGAGGGUAGAAUUUGAUCUGACAUUAGCACAAACUAACUUUUACAUUUGCCAGACUCUUAUUUGCUCACAGCAUGUGGCAAGCCAGAAAUAUAAAUAAAUCAAAUCUGUUUCUAGGAAGAACCCAGCAACCCUUUGAAACUUUCCUUCUUUGCAUUAUGAGAAAGGAAGUGGUAGAAAAAGGGGAGAGGAUGGAGGGUUACAUAAAUGAGAGCAGGUGCGGUCGUGCAGAAGUAACUAUUCAGCAUAUGUAAGUGCAGUUGGAAAAUCAUUGUCUUGCAGAGAAUACUUGAAAUUGGUCCCUAAUGGCCUUGGUUUUUGUCAUAUGGUCUUGAUUAUCAGGCUAAAAUUGCAUUGCCGAUGCCUUUAGUGUGAGUGAGAUAGAUGAAUAAUUAUUACGUGCGCAGAAUACCUUUCUGCAGGGAGGAACCAGGAUAUCCCCUGGUCACUGCAGCUACCACUGCACUUUGCUGUCAAGAAAACUGCAAGUGGCCAAUUCAUCACUUUCUUAUUGUUCUUAAAAUAUAUGUUUAUAAUAGUAAAUGCUCAUACCUGCACUAAGAGUGUGCAGUGUGAAGCCUUGACAUUGUGAGAAAUAAUUGCAGGACCCAGUUAUUUAUGGGAUUAAGGGGAUGCAAAAUCUAAGUACCUUAUUUUAUUUCCAAAGAAUUUGCUUUGUUUUUGUGUUCAUGCAACUCUGUGACUGUAUCAAGGCGACAAAUGAGCUUCUAGUAACUAAAAUAUGUACAUACAAGAUACAUCAAAUUAGUUUAGGAAUGAUUUUUUUCCAUCUUUCUCCUUUUUAUCGUUUAAAAAAAGGGCUUGCACUCUGCCUUACUUCCCUUUGCCUGUCUUUGUCUCCAUUACUCAUUACUACUACUAUAACAGAAAUAGUAGUAAUGAGGUUAACAAAAUCUUAUUGCUAGCACUCAGGAUAAGUCUCUGCGUAUUGAAAAGAUCACUCUGUCCAUGUUGGCCCCUGAACAGAAAGGGAAAUGUGACUGCAAGGUUCACAACCACUCUAAGAUCCAUGACCAUGACCACACUGCUCAUUCAUCACCCGUAUAUUUACAUUAAAUCACGGCUGGAUGUGCUUGCCCUCUAUGUAGUCCUUUGCAGUACUAGCAAUUAGUUACGGGAUCCUCCAGUUCCUAAACAAUGUUCAUUGAAUUUCCUUAUAGCUACAAACAGAACACAGUGGACUUGCUUCCUUCUGACAUACCUUCAGAAGCAUUGCAUGUGCACGGGGUGCAAGCAUUUCAGGACAAGAUUUCCAGCAUCUGCAGAGUUUCUGAUUAACUGCUUGCUGCCAUUUGCCAUUAAAACCCUAGUGAGAUGCCCCUCAACAGUUUUGAUUAAAUAAACAGACAGCCACCUCAACUAUUUGUGUCAACUAACUACCUUUUUCUAGUUGUUUUAGUGAUUACUCCCUAUUAUGAACCUAAAUAGAUGUGUUUAGCUUAAAUAUGAAGAAAGAAAAAAGUAAUAAAGAAAUCACAUUUAUGAGAAUGGUUUUUUAACCAUGUUUUAGUGUCUCCUAUUAAAUUCUCUGAAUGCUCUUCUUGUAUGAGUAAAUUAAUCAUUGUGAAACAUUUCUCUUGAAUUUAUGUGUGCUUUUAUACUUAUUUUACAGAUAGCUAAAGUCAAGCAGUGUAUCUCUACACCAAAAACAAAACAAAAUGUGUAGCUAUGUUGGGUUAAAUAUAAUCCUAUGAUCUAUGUGAUGACUGACCAAAUUGACAACUGGAGUUAAACCUGAAGAGGAGCCUGAAAUGAAGCACAAGCUGCUAGUCUCAGCUCUGCGAUAUUCACUGCUCUUUUCUCUUGUUAGCAGCUAUCUGAGGUUGUCCAACUCAAAGUAAGAAGUCUUUCUUUUCCCCCCAGAGUACCAAAAGUACCUAAGGAAAGCCAAGUGACCUGCUUAAAGUAAGUGCCAGGAAAGGAUGUGAGAAUUUGGAAUUCACUCCCAUAUCCUAGGUACCGCUAAUUAUACGGGCAAGUAUUCAGACAGUCUACCACCCUUGCUCAGUUAAGGGCUUGCUGUACUUAAAAAGGAAGUGCCUGACAUCUAGUAGUAGUGCAAAAAAAAAAAAAAAAAAAAAAAAAAAAAAUUUGCAAAUUUG